GAAAAAGCUGUGAAAGUGCAAGUAGAUCUUUAUUUUCUUUCAGAGAGAGGAAGUCACCGGCUGUAAGCUUCCUUAAGUUCAGAUAAUGAUUGAAUUUCCCACUGGAGCUGCAUUUCUGAAAGCACUGCUGCUACUAGGAAAUGACGUGUGAGGCGCGUUAAGCUGUAAUGAGUGCCCGGUUUUCCGGGAAUCAGGGUGGUACCACGGAACUGUCAGCUUCGUCCCUUUU
rnacentral:ncRNA from 1 species